ACACAUGCAAGUCGAACGGGAAAUAUUUCAUUGAGACUUCGGUGGAUUUGAUCUAUUUCUAGUGGCGGACGGGUGAGUAACGCGUGGGUAACCUGCCUUAUACAGGGGGAUAACAGUCAGAAAUGGCUGCUAAUACCGCAUAAGCGCACAGAGCUGCAUGGCUCAGUGUGAAAAACUCCGGUGGUAUAAGAUGGACCCGCGUUGGAUUAGCUUGUUGGUGGGGUAAUGGCCCACCAAGGCGACGAUCCAUAGCCGGCCUGAGAGGGUGAACGGCCACAUUGGGACUGAGACACGGCCCAGACUCCUACGGGAGGCAGCAGUGGGGAAUAUUGCACAAUGGGGGAAACCCUGAUGCAGCGACGCCGCGUGAAGGAAGAAGUAUCUCGGUAUGUAAACUUCUAUCAGCAGGGAAGAUAGUGACGGUACCUGACUAAGAAGCCCCGGCUAACUACGUGCCAGCAGCCGCGGUAAUACGUAGGGGGCAAGCGUUAUCCGGAUUUACUGGGUGUAAAGGGAGCGUAGACGGUGUGGCAAGUCUGAUGUGAAAGGCAUGGGCUCAACCUGUGGACUGCAUUGGAAACUGUCAUACUUGAGUGCCGGAGGGGUAAGCGGAAUUCCUAGUGUAGCGGUGAAAUGCGUAGAUAUUAGGAGGAACACCAGUGGCGAAGGCGGCUUACUGGACGGUAACUGACGUUGAGGCUCGAAAGCGUGGGGAGCAAACAGG
rnacentral:rRNA from 1 species